CAAUGCUGCACUUGCUGCUCUA
rnacentral:miRNA from 10 species